AUUGAACGCUGGCGGCAGGCCUAACACAUGCAAGUCGAGCGAGUGGCGGACGGGUGAGUAAUGUAUGGGGAUCUGCCCGAUAGAGGGGGAUAACUACUGGAAACGGUGGCUAAUACCGCAUACCAUCGGAUGCACCCAUAUGGGAUUAGCUAGUAGGUGGGGUAAAGGCUCACCUAGGCGACGAUCCCUAGCUGGGCUGAGAGGAUGCCCAGCCACACUGGGACUGAGACACGGCCCAGACUCCUACGGGAGGCAGCAGUGGGGAAUAUUGCACAAUGGGCGCAAGCCUGAUGCAGCCAUGCCGCGUGUAUGAAGAAGGCCUUAGGGUUGUAAAGUACUUUCAGCGGAGAGGCGUUACCCGCAGAAGAAGCACCGGCUAACUCCGUGCCAGCAGCCGCGGUAAUUC
rnacentral:rRNA from 1 species